rnacentral:rRNA from 1 species
UUUACACAUAAAUCUGUUUGUAUCCAGCUUGAUAUGGCCAGAGCCACAUGAAGCUAUGCAGGGUUGAGCCUUGCCAGUACCUGGAUGAGAGAACUCCUGGGAUAAGCUAAGGUUUCUGCUAGAA